UGGAAAAGGAUGUGGGAUUUCGAAGACAACUAGGAUGUUGGCUCAGAAGCAGCCAUACAUUCAAAGAGUGCGUAACAGCUCACUAGUCGAGAGUUCCUGCGCCGAAAAUGUCCGGGGCUGAAACACGACACCGAAGCCGUGGACUCGCAAUGCGAGUGGUAGAGGAGCAUUCUUAAAACCGACGAAGCUGUACCGGAAGGAGCAGUGGAGGGAUAAGAAGAGAGAAUGCCGGAAUGAGUAGCGAGAGGAAGGUGGGAAUCCUUCCGGCCGAAUAUCUAAGGUUUCCAGAGUAAAGCUGAUCUGCUCUGGGUAAGUCGGGGCCUAAGCACAGGUCGCAAGACGUAAGCGAUGGAUAACAGGUUUAGAUUCCUGUACCACGCAUUAUCAGAACUGUAGGGACGCAUGUGGAAAGCACGAGCCGGGAAUGGAAAGACCGGUACAAGCGGGGUAGGAGUACAAUAGGCAAAUCCGUUGUAUGAUCCGAAGACGUGAUGUGGAGCGAAAUAAAGUAGUGAAGCGUGUGAGCCAUGUGCCGAGAAAAGCUGCUAUUGUGUAAUGCGUGCCCGUACCGUAAACCGACACAGGUGGAUGAGGAGAGAAUCCUAAGGCCGACGGAAGAAGCAUUGUUAAGGAACUCGGCAAAAUGACCCCGUAACUUCGGGAGAAGGGGUGCCUGCGAGAGCAGGCCGCAGAGAAUAGGCUCAAGCAACUGUUUAGCAAAAACACAGGUCUAUGCGAAACCGAAAGGUGAAGUAUAUGGGCUGACGCCUGCCCGGUGCUGGAAGGUUAAGAGGAGAGGUUAGCGCAAGCGAAGCUUUGAAUUUAAGCCCCAGUAAACGGCGGCCGUAACUAUAACGGUCCUAAGGUAGCGAAAUUCCUUGUCGGGUAAGUUCCGACCCGCACGAAAGGCGUAAUGAUUUGAGCGCUGUCUCGACAAUGCAUCCGGUGAAAUUGAAGUACCAGUGAAGAUGCUGGUUACCCGCGCCAGGACGGAAAGACCCCAUGGAGCUUUACUCCAGUUUGGUACUGGGGUCCGGCAGUGCAUGUACAGGAUAGGUGGGAGGCUGUGAACCUGGAACGCCAGUUUCAGGGGAGCCAUUGUUGGGAUACCACCCUUGUGCUGCUGGGCUUCUAACCAGCGGCCUUUAUCAGGCCGGGGGACAAUGCCAGACGGGGAGUUUGACUGGGGCGGUCGCCUCCGAAAGGGUAUCGGAGGCGCCCAAAGGUUCCCUCAGAAUGGACGGAAACCAUUCGAAGAGUGCAAAGGCAGAAGGGAGCUUGACUGCGACACCGACGG
rnacentral:rRNA from 1 species